rnacentral:rRNA from 1 species
UACGUAGGGUGCGAGCGUUUAAUCGGAAUUACUGGGCGUAAAGCGUGCGCAGGCGGUUAUGUAAGACAGGUGUGAAAUCCCCGGGCUUAACCUGGGAACUGCAUUUGUGACUGCAUGGCUAGAGUACGGUAGAGGGGGAUGGAAUUCCGCGUGUAGCAGUGAAAUGCGUAGAUAUGCGGAGGAACACCGAUGGCGAAGGCAAUCCCUGGACCUGUACUGACGCUCAUGCACGAAAGCGUGGGGAGCAAACAGG